rnacentral:tRNA from 1 species
CGCAAAUUAAGGCACUUUGGUGGGCUCAUAACCCAAAGGUCGUACGUUCAAAUCGUGCCCCCGCUACCA